GAAUGCGCAGCCACAUAUCAUAUUGAUGUGAUCAUUCAACGAGUGAAUAACUUCGGUUUUAAUCCCGGGAUUGCUUCCACCAAAUGUAGAGCACACGCUGUUUCCAUGUUUGCAAGUUAAAAACAAAAAGAAUUUUGAUUGUAAAAAGAAAGGCAGGUUUUUAAUUUACCUAAGUUGAAUUGCAGGUUUCAACAUGAGACCGGACCUACGCCAAGCCAAGGCUUGAGAAACACCCAAUGCGAAUGAUUUUUCAGGCCAAUUUACCAUUGGUGUGAUUCGUGUUCCCUGUUUACUCUGUUUCAUCAAAGUUGAAAAACAGUUUUUCAAGCUCUUGUAUAUAGGAACUGUGACUAUACUUGAUCAAUUAUUAACCAACCUUGCAGGAGAAACUAAAUCUCAUAUCGCCUGGAUAUUGACCUUGCGCUUGAAGAAGACCGCC
rnacentral:lncRNA from 1 species